GGCGAUCUUCAGUCCUGCAAUCAGAGCUUCAUGUUCUGCUCCAUUAUUUAUCGCAGGGAAUUCGAAGCGCAGUGCAUACUCCAUGAUAAUUCCUUCCGAAUUGACCAAGAUCAGGCCCACGUCCGUGCCUGACAUGUUGGAGGAACCAUCCACGUAGAGGGUCCAAAAACCAUCAGGGAGAUCUGUUCUUUUCUCAGGGG
rnacentral:lncRNA from 1 species